GAAGGUCAUAUCCAUAAAAAAUGCUUCGAUCAUAGUUAAAUGUGAAAGGUUCAAUGAUCCCAUCAGGGAUCGACACUCGAAUCGAGUCGAAGAGCCCGACUUCUCUUUGCAUUCCAUAGUGUGCAUGGUAAAGGUAUGUUCCUGGCUGCAAUAUGUUUAAAGGAGUAAAGGUGAUUUAGAGACCUUACUAAUCCAAUCCUCGAUUACAAAGAUAACAAGCUGUAUGAUAGCCACGACAUAUAUUGUUGUAUCCAAUGGAGAGCGUUCAAAUCACUGACCUGAUUAUGGAUGGAGUAGAACCAAAGUGAUCAAAGUGAUCAGCAUGUUAUCAUUUUUUGAUGAAAUUGAUGCUAUUUGCAAGGUUGCUGUCUAUACAUGUGAAGAGUGUGGGUUUGAAAUUUACCAGGUA